rnacentral:rRNA from 1 species
UACGUAGGGGGCUAGCGUUGUCCGGAAUCAUUGGGCGUAAAGAGCGUGUAGGCGGUCCGGUAAGUCCGCUGUGAAAGUCGAGGGCUCAACCCUCGAAUGCCGGUGGAUACUGUCGGGCUUGAGUACGGGAGAGGCGAGUGGAAUUCCUGGUGUAGCGGUGAAAUGCGCAGAUAUCGAGAGGAACACCGGUGGCGAAGGCGGCUUCCUGGACAGUCACUGACGCUGAGACGCGAAAGCGUGGGGAGCAAACAGG